CGGGACUAACUUGGGGACAUUUGUUGGUAUGUUCUGAAGGUCUUUGAAGGAAAUCGCCCAACCAACUCCAUUGUGUUCACUAAACUCACACCCUUCCUUCUUGGGGCCCUGAUUGCCAUGUACGAGCACAAGAUCUUCGUCCAGGGCAUCGUCUGGGACAUCAACAGCUUUGACCAGUGGGGAGUGGAGCUGGGAAAGCAGCUGGCUAAGAAAAUCGAGCCUGAGCUUGAUGGCAACGCUCCAGUGACCUCUCAUGAUGCUUCCACCAAUGGGCUGAUCAACUUCAUCAAGCAGCACCGUGAGGCCAGAACCUAGGACACUCAUGCUCAGCUGCAGCUCCUAUUGUGACGGUCCUUCUUGUCCCUCCUCACCAGAGUCUGCACUGCAUGGUCCUGCAUCUCUCCACCCAGAGCACCUUCUGGUUGUGGGCUUGGACAACAAACCCUUCUGAGGAAGUUGGUCUGGAACUGCCACUCGAAUCCCUCUCUGUCUGCCCUCCCUGUUUUACAGUUGGCUAAGGUGUUUCAGUGCAGCUGAUCAGCUGAUUUUUCUGACCCAUCUUCACAUUGUUUGGGUUCCAGGUAGAAAAAUAAAGAUGCCACAAAGGAG